GACGAACGCUGGCGGCGUGCCUAACACAUGCAAGUCGAACGGAAAGGCCCUUCUUUUGUGGGGUGCUCGAGUGGCGAACGGGCGAGUAACACGUGAGUAACCUGCCCUUGACUGUGUUAUAACUUCCGGACACUGGGGCUUAUACCAGCUCGGAUCUCCUCCUUCAUGGUGGUGGUGGGACAUUUUCGGCGGUUGGGGAUGGACUCGCGGCUUAUCGGCUUGUUGGUGGGGUAGUGGCUUACCAAGGCAUUGACGGGUAGCCGGCCUGCGAGGGUGACCGGCCACAUUGGGCCUGAGUUACGGCCCAGAGUCCUACGGGAGGCAGCAGUGGGGAAUAUUGCACAAUGGGCGGAAGCCUGAUGCAGCAACGCCGCGGGCGGGAUGACGGCCUUCGGGUUGUAAACCGCUUUCGCCUGUGACGAAGCGUGAGUGACGGUAAUGGGUAAAGAAGCACCGGCUAACUACGUG
rnacentral:rRNA from 1 species